UAAGGAACUCAUCACAAAGUAGAAGAAACACUAAAAGUGAAAGUGACUUAGGCAAGGUUCAAUGUUAUGGAUGCAAUCAAUUUGGACAUUACAAAAAUGAAUGUCCAAAGUUAUGGCAAAAACCUCCAUUCAAAAAUAAAUCUAUGAUGGCUACAUGAGAUGAAUUAGAUGAAGCAUGAAGAACAACAAUAUGCAAAAAUGUGCCUCAUAACACACUCAGACUCUCAAGAGGUAUCACUCGAACCUUGUGCUUCAUGCCUAAAAAAUGAGCAUUUAUUUGAUAACCUUUUAUAUGACUCACAGGCUUAGAGAUGAUGUCACUAAAAUAACUCAAGAGAGAGAUGAAUACAAAGCUGAAA
rnacentral:lncRNA from 1 species